rnacentral:rRNA from 1 species
UACGUAGGGUGCAAGCGUUGUCCGGAAUUAUUGGGCGUAAAGAGCUCGUAGGCGGUUUGUCGCGUCUGCUGUGAAAACCCGAGGCUCAACCUCGGGCCUGCAGUGGGUACGGGCAGACUAGAGUGGCGGUAGGGGAGAUUGGAAUUCCUGGUGUAGCGGUGGAAUGCGCAGAUAUCAGGAGGAACACCAAUGGCGAAGGCAGAUCUCUGGGCCGUAACUGACGCUGAGGAGCGAAAGCAU